rnacentral:rRNA from 1 species
GAGUUUGAUCUUGGCUCAGAGUGAACGCUGGCGGUAGGCCUAACACAUGCAAGUCGAACGGCAGCACAGUAAGAGCUUGCUCUUAUGGGUGGCGAGUGGCGGACGGGUGAGGAAUACAUCGGAAUCUACUUUUUCGUGGGGAUAACGUAGGGAAACUUACGCUAAUACCGCAUACGACCUACGGGUGAAAGCAGGGGAUCUUCGGACCUUGCGCGAUUGAAUGAGCCGAUGUCGGAUUAGCUAGUUGGCGGGGUAAAGGCCCACCAAGGCGACGAUCCGUAGCUGGUCUGAGAGGAUGAUCAGCCACACUGGAACUGAGACACGGUCCAGACUCCUACGGGAGGCAGCAGUGGGGAAUAUUGGACAAUGGGCGCAAGCCUGAUCCAGCCAUACCGCGUGGGUGAAGAAGGCCUCGG